rnacentral:misc_RNA from 1 species
UUUCCGUAGGUGAACCUGCGGAAGGAUCAUUGUCGAAACCUGCCCAGCAGAACGACCCGUGAACCUGUUGAAACAACUGGGGGCAGGGGGUGAUCUCGCCCCGUGCCCCCGAACGGUAGGGAGACACUCGUGCAUCCCUGCCGAACAACGAACCCCGGCGCGGUCUGCGCCAAGGAACUUUAACGAAAGAGUGCCUCCGGCCGUCUCGGAAACGGUGUGCGUGCGGGAGGUGAAUCUUGUCUAGAACCAUAACGACUCUCGGCAACGGAUAUCUCGGCUCUCGCAUCGAUGAAGAACGCAGC